ensembl:lncRNA
GGGGGGCAUGUUUCUUUCUUUUUCUUUUUUUUUUUUUUUUUGGUGGGGACAAAUGUCUUCAUUAUUAUAGGAAUAUCUGACACAUCUGGUUUGAUCUUGUGGGAACAUUUGGCUAGUCUGCAUGAGAAACUGCUUUUAUACACAUGUAAAAACUGCAGCUUUUAUUUCCAAAACUAAAACAGCCAUGAGGUUUCUUUUUGGUUACUAAAGUUCAGGUUAGAUUUAGGUCUCAGUGGAAGGUUCUCACAAGGGUAGUAAAGUGUGUGUGUGUGUGUGUGUGUGUGUGUACCUCUACAUACCACUGGAAAUUUCAUGAUAAUUAUACGCAGGGAGUAAUUACCUUUCCAAAGAGAUAACGAUGGCCAAUUAAACCUUCAAACAGGAUGGGUUUAUGUGGAUCAUAUCCACUCAAUUACUAAACCGUUUCAAAGGAGCUCCACACUACAGAACAUAAAGAACCUUUGUUUUUGAUGUGUGUAUAAGCCCUUGGCGUGUGUGUCAGUGUGUUUGUAUUGGACUGUGUAUAGGUUCGGUGGUUGGAUGGAGCGGAUGGGGUUAGGGAGGGGUGACUCUUCAUGCUGCACGCACACUGCACACUGCAGCUGUGUCUGGAGUUAUGUACAAAUAUUUAAACCCACUCACAUCCUUUCCCUUCAAAUGGUCUCUUCAGCACCCAUAGCAGCUCCUGUCGCACUUCUUCACCUCGGUCACGUCUUCAGACCCUCUUCAGAAGUCUGCCGUUCCUGUGGUGUACCAUACCCCACAGCAGGGAAUGCACUGCUGCAUGUGAGGGACAGUGUUGAAGAAAGUGAGGGGUUUUACUGUGACUUUAAACUUCAGUUUUAUUUAUAUUUCAAAAUAAGAAAAGAACAAUGUAGCAUGUGAUAAAUCAAACGUAUUCAUACACUCAAAAAACAGGUUCCAUUUAGCACCCCUUCAGGGUUCCUUAACUUUAUUUAUUUAUUUAUUUAUUUAUUUAUUUAUUUAUUUAUUUGCUUGCUUACUUACUUCCUUAACAGGGACGACACACAUGACACAGUGGCACAGCAGGUAGUGUUGCAGCCUCCCAGCUCCAGGUUUCGGUCCUGAGCUCGGGUUACCGUAUGUGGAGUUUUAUUGCAUGUUCUCCCCAUGUAUGCAUGGGCUUCUUUCGGGUUCGGGUUCAUUUCCCAAAAACAUGCCAGUACGUGGACUGUCAAAAACAAAUUGCCCCUAGGUGUGAAUGAGUGUGUGUUUGUGUGUGGGCAUUGUACACUGCAAUGGGCUCCAGGGGGUAUUCCUGCUUCAUGCCCAGUAGUACCAGAAUAGGCUCCAGAUCCCCCAUCACCCUGACCAGGAUAAAGGGAACUACUGAAUGUGACUGAGUGAAUACACAUUAAUCUAAUCAGUAUUCAUGAUGUAAAUGUGUCAGAUUUAGCCAACUGGCUAAUUUUCAUCUACUGUCCCUGUGCAGGUUGAUGUUAUUAAAAAAUUAAUUGGAUAAAAAGAACAGGUAAGAAAGGAAGAAAAAAUAAAACAACAAAAGAACAUGGUUACACCUAAAGCACCUCAUACACUAAAUACACAUAACACAGUCCAUGAUAUGAGUGUGACACUACAAUAUGUGAGCACUGUUAACAUGCUCGCUCGAUCGAUAGAUGGAUAGAUAGCUAUACAGAGGUGUGUGUGUGUGUGUGUGUGUGUGUGUGUGUGUGUAUAUAUAUGUAUAUAUAUAAUGUGUAUAUAUAUGUAUAUGUGUGUGUAUAUAUGUGUGUGUGUGUGUGUUUGUAUAAAAAUGUAAUAAGCCACUGGUUUUCAAGUCUUCAAGCAGCUGGACGGGGGCAACAAAUGACUGGAAAAGUAAGUGUUACUAAAAACAAACAGCUGGUGGAACAUUUUGAAAGUAACUAGAUUAAUUGGCAACAGGUCUGUAACAUGAAUGGAUAUAAAAAUGAGUAUCUAAUAGAGGCAGAGUCUCUCGGAAUUAAAGAUGGGAUGGAUUCCGGAUGGAAGCAUAUAUUGCUCUAAAACCUGUAUAUACCUUUCAGCACUGAUUGUGCCUUUCCUGAGGUUAAACAUUUGAUGUUUUUUAUGUUCUAUUAUGAAUAACAUUCUUAUGAGAUUUGCAAAUCAUUGCAUUCUGUUUUUAUUUACAUUUUACACAGCGUCCCAACUUUUUUGGAAUUGGGGUUGUAUAUCC